GCCGAUGUGGCGGAAUUGGUAGACGCGCUAGCUUGAGGGGCUAGUGAGGGAGACCUCGUGCCGGUUCGAGUCCGGCCAUCGGCACCA
rnacentral:tRNA from 1 species